GGUUACUAAUCAGUUGACUUUGAGAUAGGAGAUUGUUCAGGUGGGCAUAACAUAAUCACACGAACCUUUUAAGCAGAGAGCUUCCUCUGGCUGGUGAAGUAAGAGGAAAUCAGGGAUAUUCAAAGUAUGAGAAGGACUUGACGCAAUGUGACUGGUUUGAAGAUGGAGUGGCUGUGUGAGAAGGAAUGUAGGUAGCCUCUAGGAGCAGAAAGUAGUACUGGCAGCAAAGAAAUGGAGACCUUAGUCCUACAGCCACAAGGAACUGAAUUGUUCAAACAACCUACAUGAGCUUGGAAGUGGGUUCUUCCCCAGAGCCUCCAGAUAAGAGCCCAGCCCAGCUGGCCCCGGGAUUUCAUCCUUGUGAUACCGCACAAAUAAGUUUGAGCUAACCAGCUAUGGCCCACACAAGGAUCAGUACUAGUACCUGCCAUUCAAAUGUCACUGUAGCUGAAGGAUAGGUCCACGGUGGCAUCCUGGACUAAAGAUCUGCAUUCCACUGGGGAUGGAGACUGCCUUGCCCUCCACCCCCACAUCCUGGAAAAACCACUGCUGGACCAGCAUCGACAUCAUGCAGCAAUACAUGGGCUCACUGGACCAUCUCCAGUACAUAGUUUGUAUAUUCUAGUUGUAAGUCCUUCUAGUUCUUCUACGUGAGCCACAGCCACAGCAUGGCUACUGACAGACAAGUCGUGUGUUUCUGCAGCCAGGAACUGAAGCCGGACCAUUGAAGUGGAGUGCACUGAACUUCAACCGCUGGGCCAUUGUGGCUGGAUCAAAUUUUGGAAUUUUAAGCAAGA
rnacentral:lncRNA from 1 species